rnacentral:sRNA from 1 species
UCCAGAACAGCCCAAGUUUUGACGGAGUC